CCGCCUUUUGUCAUUGCUCUCUUCCAUUUUUUAAAUAUUUCUUUAGUUUCUGUAGUGCCGAACUCCUUUAGAUUUUUGAUAGGGUUUCUUUCCCUCUGUUGCUUUGCCGAAGUCCAGCCAACCCUUUCCUUGUUUAGAAAUUUCUAUACUUUCAAGCGUUACCCUUUGGCAAAGGACUGGUGGUACUUCUCCCUCCAGUUUGAUAGAAAGGGGUUGCUGAAAGGCGCCCCCUCUUCUAUUCACAACUGAAAGGAGAGGUACUUCUACGUCUGAUACCCGA
rnacentral:lncRNA from 1 species